UUUAUGGAGAGUUUGAUCCUGGCUCAGGACGAACGCUGGCGGCGUGCCUAAUACAUGCAAGUCGAGCGAACAGAGAAGGAGCUUGCUCCUUUGACGUUAGCGGCGGACGGGUGAGUAACACGUGGGCAACCUACCUUAUAGUUUGGGAUAACUCCGGGAAACCGGGGCUAAUACCGAAUAAUCUAUUUCACUUCAUGGUGAAAUACUGAAAGACGGUUUCGGCUGUCGCUAUAAGAUGGGCCCGCGGCGCAUUAGCUAGUUGGUGAGGUAACGGCUCACCAAGGCGACGAUGCGUAGCCGACCUGAGAGGGUGAUCGGCCACACUGGGACUGAGACACGGCCCAGACUCCUACGGGAGGCAGCAGUAGGGAAUCUUCCACAAUGGGCGAAAGCCUGAUGGAGCAACGCCGCGUGAGUGAAGAAGGUUUUCGGAUCGUAAAACUCUGUUGUAAGGGAAGAACAAGUACAGUAGUAACUGGCUGUACCUUGACGGUACCUUAUUAGAAAGCCACGGCUAACUACGUGCCAGCAGCCGCGGUAAUACGUAGGUGGCAAGCGUUGUCC
rnacentral:rRNA from 1 species